UCAAAAAGACGAUUUAUUAAUUCUCUAACCAUAUAAGAGAAGCAGAUCCCGGUAGAAUUAAAACAGAACACUGAUCAUGAAGUGGAUAAUAAUUAUCGCCCUGGGACUACAAUCAGUUCAUUGUUAUGACAAAGGUAACAAGGACCACGGAUUAAUUAUAGAAAGCGGCGCCCAAGUUUCUUUACAUAACACGAUUAUAAACAUUUGCUGUGAUGAUGGGUACAACGAUCACGGUAUAUUUGUAAAACAUGGCUCCAAAGAGACUAUACACAACACUACCAUAAACUGCUGUUUUGAUAAUGGAUUCCAGGAUUGUAGAUUUGUUAUAGGACAUGGCGUCAAAAUUUCUUUACAUGACACUACCAUAAAUUGGUGUUGGUUUCCAGAGCUAUCCAAUCAAAAUCAUCAAAACGGGAUGCCACAUUCGAACGGCCACGCUAGUCAUACUGCACAUGGUCUACCUCGGAAUCAACCAUCAAACAUGACAGGGUCAUUUCAUUGACCGCAAAUAUUUCCACAUGGUUAACUUGAUCGCAAAAACCGGGCUGCAUUCAACUGGACUAACCUCAUACAUCGAUAAAAUAUCAAAUGAUAGGAUAGCAGUCUACUUUCACUACAAUUCUCGACAAACGUAUGAUUGCGGCGUGAAAGCCAACUGUCAAAAUCCACUUUGAGAGAAUAUUCCGGACAAACCGUCACUCGCCAAUCUCAGAUGUUGGUAGUAAACAGAAUAAAAAAGUUUUCUCUUUCCUAAACUGCUGUGAUCUGUGUUCGGCCAGUAACGGUUUGAGCGGAAUUUGCCUGCAAAGAGAAUUUUGACAGUUGGCUUUUACGCCAUAAUCAUAUGUUUGUCGAGAAUUGCACUAUCGAUUAAAUAUGUACAACAGAAAUCCAAGCACUCCUAAAAGUUUUAAUAAUGAACCAGAUAGAAAUUAACAAUACUAUUAGCCUUACAAACAAUCGUAGAACAAUAAAUAUUAUGGUUGUUAGUGUUUCCAUAUAUUCCGGUGGAAAAUACUUCCAAGUUUAUUUACCGUAAAACUUAGUGAGACAAACAGUUUUUUAGCCUCCCAUUUGCUUGUUAAUAACUUUUCCCACUAAUUCGUCAUUUCAGAGCUGAAGUACUCUCUAAUAGGUCAGUUGUAAUAUAAUAAAUUCAAACAAAUAAAUAAAUGCAAAUAAAUCGAUUUUAAAUGCAAUAUGGCAAUAGCAGCAACCAAAAAUGCACACCAGUGUACAUUCUAUCUCUGCUCAAGCUAGUGUUAUAGGAAAGUUAAGAAUCGAUAAAAAGU